rnacentral:rRNA from 1 species
GCAAGUGGAAUUCUGCAUGUAGGGGUAAUAUCCGUAGAUAUGCAGAGGAACACCAAAAGCGAAGGCAGCUUGCUGGGCCUGUAUUGACACUGAGAGACGAAAGCGUGGGGAGCGAAAAGGAUUAGAUACCCUUGUAGUCCACGCCGUAAACGAUGGAUACUCGAUGUAGGAGGAAUCGACCCCUUCUGUGUCUAAGCUAACGCGUUAAGUAUCCCGCCUGGGGAGUACGGUCGCAAGAUUAAAACUCAAAGGAAUAGACGGGGACCCACACAAGCGGUGGAGCAUGUGGUUUAAUUCGACAAUAAGCGGGGAACCUUACCAGGACUUGACAUCCCGAGAAUUUUCCAGAGAUGGAAAAGUGCCGCAAGGAACUCGGUGACAGGUGCUGCAUGGUUGUCGUCAGCUCGUGCCUUGAGGUGUUCUGUUAAGUCAGUAAACGAGCGCAACCCAUGUCAUAAUUUGUAAUUUAUUAUGAGACUGCCGGCUCCAAGUCGGAGGAAGGU